GAUGAACGCUGGCGGCGUGCCUAAUACAUGCAAGUCGAGCGAACAGACGAGGAGCUUGCUCCUCUGACGUUAGCGGCGGACGGGUGAGUAACACGUGGAUAACCUACCUAUAAGACUGGGAUAACUUCGGGAAACCGGAGCUAAUACCGGAUAAUAUAUUGAACCGCAUGGUUCAAUAGUGAAAGACGGUUUUGCUGUAACUUAUAGAUGGAUCCGCGCCGCAUUAGCUAGUUGGUAAGGUAACGGCUUACCAAGGCAACGAUGCGUAGCCGACCUGAGAGGGUGAUCGGCCACACUGGAACUGAGACACGGUCCAGACUCCUACGGGAGGCAGCAGUAGGGAAUCUUCCGCAAUGGGCGAAAGCCUGACGGAGCAACGCCGCGUGAGUGAUGAGGGUCUUCGGAUCGUAAAACUCUGUUAUUAGGGAAGAACAAAUGUGUAAGUAACUAUGCACGUCUUGACGGUACCUAAUCAGAAAGCCACGGCUAACUACGUG
rnacentral:rRNA from 1 species